rnacentral:rRNA from 1 species
AUUGAACGCUGGCGGCAGGCUUAACACAUGCAAGUCGAACGAAGUGGCGCACGGGUGAGUAACGCGUAAUCCACCUGCCCUUCAGAGGGGGACAACAGUUGAAAACGACUGCUAAUACCGCAUACUGAAGGAGGGGAUUGCGUCUGAUUCGCUAGUUGGCGGGGUAACGGCCCACCAAGGCGAUGAUCAGGAGCCGGGCUGAGAGGAUGAACGGCCACAUUGGGACUGGGACACGGCCCAGACUCCUACGGGAGGCAGCAGUGGGGAAUCUGCCGCAAUGGACGAAAGUCUGACGGAGCAACGCCGCGGGAGUGAUGACGGCCUUCGGGUUGUAAAGCUCUGUUAAUCGGGACGCGGUACCGGAAUAGAAAGCCACGGCUAACUACGUGCCAGCAGCCGCGGUAAUAC